AAGUCGUAACAAGGUUUCCGUAGGUGAACCUGCGGAAGGAUCAUUAACACGUAUCCAAAACUACGUUUAAACUCAAAAUUUAAUUCGUGAAAACUGGAAAAAAAAUUAACUUUUUUUUUCCUUAUCCCUCCCUAUUUAUAUUUUUUUACUUCUCUUUUUUUAAUUCGUAAUGAACUGAAAAAAACAAAAAAUGAAAGAAACCUAUUGAGGUGAUUCUCACAGUUUCUUGACUUUUUUACGAAAUGCUGAACAACUCUUAACAACGGAUAUCUUGGUUCUC
rnacentral:misc_RNA from 1 species